GGGAGGAAGAACAAGAAGAGGAAGAAGAGGAGUGAAAGGGAAAUAGAGAUUAAGGAAGGGGAAGAGAAAAUGGGAGAAAGGAGAAGAGAGAAGUAUGUAUGGGAGAGAGGGAGGGAGGAAAGAAAAAGAAGGAAGGAGAGAGAAAGGGGAUAAAGAGGAGAGAAAAAGUAAAGACAGAAGAAAGAGGAGAAGGAAGAAAGUAUGAGAGGAAAGCAGAGAAGAGAGGAAAAAGAAAGAGAAGAAAGGAAAGGAGGAGGAAGGGGAAAAGAUUAAGAGACAAAAAGAGAGAUAGAGAGGAGGAGGAGGAGGAGGAAGAAGAGGAGAGGAAGGAGGAGGAAGAGGAGAGGAGGAGGAGGAGGGGAGAGAAAAGAAGAGGAGGGGGGAAGAAGAGGAGGAAGAGGAGAGUUGGAGGAGGAGGGGAGGAGAAGGAUGAGAGGAGAAGGAAGGAGAGAAAGAGGAGAAGGAGGGGGGAAAGUAAGUACUGAGAAGGGGGAGGAGGGGAAGGGAGAGAAGAGGAAGGUGGAGGAGAAAGAGGAGGAGGGGAGGAAGAACAAGAAGAGGAAGAAGAGGAGGGAGAGAGAGAGCUAGAAAUGAAGAUUGAGGGAGGGGGAGAGAACAAGGGAGAAAGGAGAAGAGAGAGAAGUGUGUGUGGGAGAGAGGGGGGAGGAAAGAGAGAGAAGGAAGAAGAGAGAAAGGAGAGAAAAAGAAAAGACAGAGGAGAGGAGAAAGAAGAAAGUAAGAGAGGAUAGGAGAGAAGAGAGGAAAAAGAGGAGAGAAGAAAGAAAAGGAGGAAGAGGGGAGAAAGAUAAAGAGACAAAAAGAGAGACAGAGGAGGAGGAGGAGGGAAAAAGAGGCGGAGGAAGAGGAGAAGAAGAGGAAGAGGAGGAAAAAGAGGAGGAGGGGGGGAGAGAGAGAGAAAUGGAGAUCGAAAGAGAGAAAGAAGAGGAAAGAAGGAGAAGAGAGAUGUGUGUGUGUGAGAGAGAAAGACAGGGACAGAGACAGAGAAAGACAAAGAAAGGAAAGGAGAGAGAGAAGGAGAGGAAGGAGAGGGAGGGAGGAAAAAGGGAAAGAGAGAAAGAAAAAGAAAGGAGAGAAGAAAGGGAAACCAGAGAAAGGAUAGAAAGAAACAGGAGAGGAGAAAGAAGAAAGAGGAAAGGAAAUAAAAAGAAAAGAGAGAGGGAGAGAGGAAAAAGAAAAAGAAGGGAGGAAAAAGAAGAGGGGAAGAGGAAGAGAUGGAAAGAAGGGGGAGGAGAAAGGGAAGGAGGAGGAUAAAAAGGAGGAGGAGAAGUUGAAGAAAGAAGAGGAAGAGGAGGAAGAAGAAGAGGAAAAGGAAGAGAAAUAGAGAGAUGGAGUUAGAGGGAGAAAGAGAAAGAGGGGGAGAGAAGGAAAAGAGAGAGGUGUGUGUAUGAGAGGGGGGAGGAGAGAAAAAAGAAGAGAAAGAGGAGAGAAAAGGAAAGGAGAGAAGAGAGAAGAAAGGAGACAGGACAGAGGAUAGAGAGAAAGAAAGGAGAAAGAAAAAUAAGAGAGAAAAGGAGAAAAAAGAGAAGAGAGAGAAGGAAAAGAAGAGAGAGAAAGAGACAGGAGGGAAAGAAGGAAGAGUUCUUUUGAUGUGUUGCAAAAAAAUGCAGCAAAACCUCCUAAACAGUGCAACUUACGUUGGGCAAAGACCGUGGCCCCUGUUCUAAGGUGGAUGUGCCUGGUAGAAUCCCAGCCUGCAUUCCCAGUCCAGAUACCUGCAAUGCUCUCUGUUUGGAAAAGGACCUUCCCAAAAGCAAAGCUUGAUGUAUAUUUUAAAACUCAGUCAAAUGAAAAGGAAAGUCCCUCAUCCCUGAUACUGCUGAAGCUCAGAAUUUCAGAAAUAAAAGAAACCGCACAUCUAAUUGGAAGAACAACCUACAAUUAAUGGGAUUUCUCCCUCCACAAUAGCCCCAACAGGUCGUCCAUCUAUUCUCUACUUGAAGAUAUCCAAUGAUGGAGAGUUUGUCACCUCUGAAAGCAAAUUGUUACUCUUUAAGCCAGUUCCAAUUGUUAGGAAGUUUUUUCUCCUAUAAAGCCAAAAUCUUCCUCCCCAAGUUUCUAACUGGUGUUCCUACUUCUGCCCUUUGGGGCCAAACUGAAUUUAGAUAAUCCUCUUGUCAUCCAACAGAUCCAUUCACCUGUGGAGAAUCUCAAAAUCAGAAAUCUGCCAUCGCAUGAAUAAGCAAAGUUCUUCCAGUUUCUUCACAGAUUCCCUUACUUUACUUCCUCUUGUACCCAGGUACAACACAGACUUCCAUCUUCCUGUGAAGAUCCCAUAUCUCCCUGCCUUAUUUUAUUGUCUUCAUGAGUGGUUGUGUCCAAAUAAUUUAUCUCUUGGUGAAAAAUUUCCUUGUACCUAGCUAGACUGAUUAUCAAAUGACCUACAGGAUCCAUCAUGGACCUUCAACUUGAAAUGUUUCCUCCUUGGUAGGAUUUGCCGCAGUUUCUCUCCUAGCAUCUCCCUCAAGAACUCCAAAUCCUUAUCUUGGGGUAACAGGAAAGAAAGCAUCACCAGGGGAUGCUGCUAGAAGAUAUUUUAAUUUGCAGAAUUUAGAUGCAUUUUAGACCAGCUUUCUUUCCUCACUUUUUGGGGGAGUUAAAAGUCCCAGAGUUAAGGGGUGCUUUAUAAGGCUGCCUUCCAGGCCCAAAUUCACUAGACUUGCCCCUCCUCUCUGCCUUGAUUCUUACCUGAAUAGAAACAAGGGGAUAUCACUGCCACUGUCCAAAGUAUUUCCAUUUCUCCAAGGCCCAGUCAGGAGGGCAAGACGUAUACCCAGUUACCUCUAGACCAGGUUAAUCACAGGGAAGUCCGCUGGUAAGGAAGGUACUGAAUCCUUUUAUUUCAGAUCAGGAAGGUCCCUGCCUUUGGUCUUCAACUUCUCUGUCCUCCAGGGAAAGAGACUAAUGAUCUCAGAACAGGGAUCUUUUUACAUGAAAAUCUUCCUAGUGCAUCAUUGUUUAGACUUUCAUUCUAGGAAUGUAAUGGCUAGAUGGCAAGACAUGAACACCUCAUCUUAAAUAUUACACUUGUAAAAAAUAAUCAUAGUACAAUAUUUUUUUUGGUUUUUCCAGAAGGUGAAAUCUGGAGUCCUCAACAAUUCUCCCUCCUGAAACACAUUAAAUUUUCUUUGGGGACCUUCCAAUAUGUCUCUCUAGAAUAGUCUUGAUAUCACUCAGAGACUGUGCCUGGAACAGGGACCCAGGGCACCAAAGGCAGACCUAGGAGUAAAGGGACUUCAGAGCCGGGGAUCCCUGCCUCACCUGCUGGGUUGGAGGCCCAUUCCAAGAGGCUUGGCCAGACAAGACCGGACCGAGCCAUGGUUCCCUCAUCCCCUCUUGUCCCAGCUGGGGCAGGGACGUGAACCAGAAAUCCCCAGAAGCCUCUCCUCCCUCAUCUCUUUCAGGGAGCUGUGGGGGAUUGGAGUGCUUGGAGACCGAAGGGUGCCAGCUUGUCCUUCCCCGCUCUACUCCAAAGCACCAGACCCACGUGCCCAGGUCCCCUCUCAGCCAGAUGUGAAGUUUCCAGCUGUGUCUAUGUGGGAGUGACUGUCCUAACUGGUAGACCAUGUGCAGUGUGAUAUUUUUCUAACAGACAACUAAUAAAAAGUGUAACAGUGCCUGUGUAACAAUGCUGGGGCUUCUCUGCGUUGUACUCAAAACCCAGUCCUACUAUGGCCUCCCAGAUAGGAUUGGUGGGAAGGGAAGGGGAGGAGACCCAUGAGCUUAGGUGUAUGGUGGCAGGAGGUGAGCAGUGUCAGGGUGACUGGGAAACAAGUGGAAUCGAGGGAGGGGACACUGGCAGAAGGAAGGGGAAGGCAGAUCGGUCCAGUUCCUAUUCGCAUACCCUCCCCCCACCCAACCUCCCUUCCAGACUUUCCAUUGCUCAAGAGUCAGUCCUUGCUGAAAUCUAAUCAACUCCUCCUGCAAUGAAGUAUUCAGUCCCAUUAAUCCCACAUGAUUUUCUGAAAGCCAUCUAGACUUGUGCUAAGCCAAAUCAUAAUUCCUUUUUGUACCUCAGUUAUCCUCUCUGUAAAUAUGAGGAGGCUCAUUCUCGGCACUCAAUAUUUGUGCAAUGAAAGGGAGAAAUAGGAGACAUCAGUGUAGAGUGUACCAAGUCACAAGAGCCAACCAUUGGAGAGUUUCUUCCUUCUCAGCCUCAUUUUCCCCAUCAGUAAAAUUAUUCUCUCAGGAGUAUGACAGAAGGAAUUCUGACCCUCAUAGAAUUUCCUCAUCUAUAAAAUGAGCCACUGAAACCUCUUCCAGCUCUAAAGCUCUAUCUAUCUAAAGCCCUUACCUACCAGGAGUAGGGGUGGAAAACAGCACCUUUUCUGCCCUCCCCUCCUCCUCCUCUCCCCAGCUCAGUAGCCUGACUCAAACCUAUGCUCCCUGAGGCUGGAGAUGGAGGUGGGAUGGAGCUUGUUUGUUUUCCAACAGCUUCACCAAGGACUCUUGGAGGGCAAGAGUCUCCCAGGGGCAGGAAGUAAUUAAGAUGGGGAGGGGGACAACCCAGAGCUGAGAAUAGGUCAGUUGGCAGACGUCUGGCUAAGAGUCCUCACGACUGGUUCUGGAUGGACGACUCCAAAUAAGCAAGGCCAUUACUAACUGCUCUCCUACGCUGAGGGAUGGUUUCCUGAAGGGGAGACUGCCCUGUCUCUGCCAUCCCCG
rnacentral:lncRNA from 1 species